rnacentral:rRNA from 1 species
GUUCCCUACGGGGCGCAGCAGUGAGGAAUAUUGGUCAAUGGCCGCAGGGCUGAACCAGCCAAGUCGCGUGAGGGAUGACGGUCCUAUGGGUUGUAAACCUCUUUUGUCAGGGAGCAAAGGGCGCCACGUGUGGCGUGUUGCGAGUACCUGAAGAAAAAGCAUCGGCUAACUCCGUGCCAGCAGCCGCGGUAAUACGGAGGAUGCGAGCGUUAUCCGGAUUUAUUGGGUUUAAAGGGUGCGUAGGCGGGAUGCCAAGUCAGCGGUAAGAAUGCGGUGCU